GACAGAGGGUGCAAACGUUGUUCGGAAUUACUGGGCGUAAAGCGCGUGUAGGCGGCUAAGUAAGUCGGGCGUGAAAUCCCACGGCUCAACCGUGGAAGUGCACUCGAAACUGCAUAGCUAGAGUCCUGGAGAGGAAGGUGGAAUGUUUGGUGUAGAGGUGAAAUUCGUAGAUAUCAAGCGGAACACCGGUGGCGAAGGCGGCCUUCUGGACAGUGACUGACGCUGAGGCGCGAAAGCGUGGGGAGCAAACAGG
rnacentral:rRNA from 1 species